GCCAGCCACCCUUUCAUCUCCGCUCCAGGGACGCGCAGGGCUGGGAACAGCCGUGGGAGGCGAGGCUUGGAGACUGGGUUCGUGCAAGAGUCCGGGGACUUGGGGGCCUCAGGCCUGGUGGUUGAUGCUGGCUGUCGGCUGGAACACUCACAUAGGGCCUCUCCCUGUGGCCUGGGCUUCCUCACAACAUGGUGGCUGGGUUCCAAGGGCAACCAUAUCCAACAGACGUGAAUGGCUUGUCAUGGAAUGGACUUCAGAGCCACACUCUCUGGCUAUGAAUCUCAGCUCUACCAUUUACUGAUUGGGUAACUUCUGAGAGAGACAGAGCAUGAACGGGGGAGGGGCAGAGAGAGAAGGAGA